rfam:Camelus ferus unplaced genomic scaffold scaffold59, whole genome shotgun sequence.
GGAGGGUACAGCUCAGUGGUAGAGCACGUGCUUAACAUGUACGAGGUCCUGGGUUCUAUCACCAGCACCUCCA